GGGGCGGGGGCAGCCUCCAUGUGCCCCGGAGGUCCUCCGUGCCACCCGAGGUGCCGGGCACACAGCGUUGGCCCCAAGUGGAGUCACGGGCUAGGGACCCGAGCCUGGGCUCCGGGCUAGUUUUUGCCGGGCACCUGCAGCCUGGUGUGAAGGUGUUGACAUCAGCCUCCAAGGCCACGGAUGGGACUUUAGCGGAACAAGCGAUAGAGAACAAGAGGAAAAGUAAAGGCGGCUUCUUCUCCGCCUCAGAUUCUGCCUGGCAGGCAGUUUCCAAAGGCCAGCUGGGGUCCAAAGGCCUAGGGGUGGACGAGGAAGGCACAAGGACACUCGAGUCACCCCGAUGCUUGGUUUCUGACGCCUGCUUGGCAAACGGAUGGACGGGCAGAGAGGGUCAACAAAGACGUGUCACCCGGUCAGCAUGGGAGAAAACAAAACAAUCAUUAUGGAUACAUGAGGAUAUUUACCUCGGGGCAAAUUGUGCAAGUGUUGCUCAUAGGAUCGUUUGGUCUGGGAUCAAAAAGACAGGUCAGAAUUACCUAAGUCAAGAGACUAACAGUGCAACGGCUGGAGCGCCAGCAGCCACUUUGAGCAACGAGGAGACCUAUGGAAGGAGGCCAUGCCUGGUACAAUGAAAGACGUACACAGAAGGUGCUUGGAUCUCUGGGGACCAUGAAGCCGCAAGACCAGACUGUGAUUUCUUUACCAGUUAGCUAUCGCUGUGUCACAAACCCCCCCUAAAGCUUAGCGGCUUCAAGAGAGAGACACAGGUGGUACACAAGUUCUCUUGAGACCUGGGCUCAGCGUUAGCACUUUAUUAUUUCUACUUCAUUCUGUUAACCAGAGCAAGUCAGGAGGCCCCCCCCGACGGGGGGGGGGGGGGGGCAGGAAAAGGAUUCUGCCUCUUGAUGGAAGAAGCUGUAAGUCAUGGUACAGGGGGUGUGGAUACAGCGAGUGGAGAGGUGGGGUCACUGCUGCCAUGAAACUACCACAAAUUCCAUUCCAUGAGAGAGAACUACAUGCUCUAUUAAUAAAAGCACUGCUAUUCUGAAUUUC